AGUUGGAGACACUUCUGCUGUAACUUUGUGAUAAAAACCAAAAAUGUGAAAAUGAUACUUGACUGUGUCAGUCAUGCGUGGCCGUGUGCAUCCAAAUGUUUGAAAAUACUCAAAACCUAAACCUGAGAAUCUGCAGUUCAAGAGCCAACAUCGUUUGAAAGAAUUUUUUUAUGCUAAUUUGUGGGAAUUUUGGUGGAUUUGUUUUGAUACUAAUUAAAGUUAAAAUUGAAACAUGAUUAGGGGCAUGCUUAAUUGGCAGGUUGCUUGACUUAAUAAAAUCCUCUUUUAUUUUUAUCCCCCAUUUAAUUUUUUUAAAUGACAGAGUUGCAAAACUUUAGUCUGUAUUUCUGCUCCUUCAGGCAUAAUUUUUGGCUUUUAGAGUUCUCUGGGUUACGUCACAAAUUAUUGGUGAUGACAUACAAGUCUAUGGGUGAAACCAACAACAGAAUACGGAAAAAUGUGCAGAGAAUAAAUAAAAAUAGUAAAAUGAAGUCAUCAGAAUUGAAGAAACAGAGCCUGACAGCACAUAAAUGUUGCAUGGACACAGCUGUUCCACCAUUUAAAACCCAAUGUAGAAUAUUUAGUGGCUUCUGUGGUGUUCUAAAACCAGAAGUUUGAUUUGGUUACAUGGUUAAAAAUGCUGUUUAGGAGCAAAUAGAUGCAAAGCUCCUUAAGGAAAGUUCAAAUAAAGUUCUCUUUAUUUUAGCUAACACCCACAGCUCUCUUGAUCUAGAAUCUUCUCCUAAACUUUACAAUUGUGGAUAUAAUACUUGGGUUAAACAUUUAUGUAGUAGAGUGGUAAAUGGCUAGCCAAUCCCAUCUGUGUCUGAAAUACUUAACAUUUGCAAAUCUAUUAGUUACAGUAAUAAUGUAUUUUAAUUAUUUUCCUUCUGUGACUAUUAGAUAUUUUGUAAAAAGUGUUACUUUAAAUGUUGUGUUUAACCAGUAGAGGGCAGUGUCGCGGACGUUAUCGCUGGACAUUUUAUUUUGAAAAGACGCAAAGCAGUCGUUUUCCUGUUCGUCUUCCUGUCUUGAUGUCUGCCCCGCGGUUGUUUCAUCUGCAUGAUAAACAAAAUAUCCACGAAGUUUUAAGAGGACGGAAAUGUGCGUCGUGGUAGUGAGAAAGCCGUAAAAGACGCGCGUAUCUUGUGAGAAAACGGCGCCAUUUCCAGCGUUCCUGGGUGUAAAACAGCUGAAAACUGAGUUUUGUUUGAUUAUUUAUUUGUAACUUUUCCAACGACUUGUAAGUAAUUUUAUUUAUUUAUUGUGUUCAUUCUCUGUGGUCAGAGUCCACUGCCGUAUUUUUAUGUUACUUUCUUUAACAUUUUUUGUUUGGUAAAAUCAUUUGCCACAGGACCAACCAGUUGUCAAAGAAAUUCUGAGAUUUUGUUUUACUUGAAGCAAGUCUGUGAACAUUUUUGAGUGUGAUUUAAAAAUAAUAAAUUGCUGUAAAAAAAAAACCCCGGUGAUUGUGUCCUGUGAGGCAACAUCAUUUCUCCAGGCUACAUUUAAUUGGAAAUAAAAUUUCGAUUUUUUUUUUUAGUGGGUGCAGACAAUAUUUCAAUACUUAAAAGACACACUUUUGUGUUGGCUACUUUCUAAAUUCUUUUUAACACUUUAUUUUGGAAAAAUAUAUUUUUCUCUGCAAAAACCUUAGCUCAGAUAAAAGGGAAAAAAAAACAUCCAACUGACACAUUUGCUGUACAACAUGUAAUGAAUGCAUUUUAGUGACCUAAACCCUAUUGUAAAUGCUGAUUACAUUAAACUCUUAUCUAAUGCAUAACCAUCAUUAUGGUGUUAUUAUUAGCAUGCAAAUAAUCACGAUAGCUAUUGAAAGAUAUUGGCAAUUUAAAAAAAUGCUUUUGCAUACUUGACUGGAGACAUCAGUGGAAUGUGCAUUUGCGAUUUAAAGAUCAUUUUCAAAGCUUCUGUUUAUUGGUAAUAAAAAUAACACUUUUUAAAGCUACACUUAGGCUAUGUCCGAAUUCCCUUCCUGCACCCCAACUACUAAAAAACAGUGCGGGACGAUCAAGUGCUCUGGAUUUUAACAACUCUUUUUAUUAAACUGCAAACAUGGCGUCACUAAUUUCACGAAAUAAAAACCUAAUAAAUGUGAACAUUUCACAAAGACUAUUUUUGAAUCCACUAAUUAUUAGGAUGAAAACUUGAUAAACUAAAAUUCAAAAGAAAAAUACUUCAAAUACAUUGUGAUCUAUAUUCACCAAUCUAGUGACCAUUGAUGCACUUUAGUUUUUCGCAGAGACUUCUGGGAAAUUUCUAGGGCACAGCUCUACAUAAUGGAGAACGCACUACACAGUGCACAAAUGAAUGAGUACACAACCUUAGUCCAAAAACAUGUUACAUUCAAGUGGUUUGGAAUUGACUCACCUCAAAGGUUAAAUAAAACCUUACAAGAAAAGUGAUUAACUGUCCAUGAUCAUCGUUUUAACCAUUUUCUAUAAACUUAUGAAACAAUGUGAGUGUCCUUAAUUCUGUAUUUUAAGAGUUACAGGCUUUUGAGGGUUAAUGAGGUAUUUAAAAGUUCAAAGUUUUUAAUUAGGGCUCAGAGAUAAAAUCAAACCCAAGCAGGAACUUGAACAUGUAUGUCCACACGCUCGGGACACGUUGUUCCUCUGACACAAGGAAAGGCAGCGCCGCUUGGGGGAGGGAGUGAGGUGGUGGUAAAGACGACACGCUCCUGCUGCCUGGCAACGCCUCCUCACUGGAGGACGAAAAGUGCUUUAUUGUUUUUCUGCCAUUCACAGCAGCCGUCUCAAGGUUCCUCGCAUUUCAGAGAGAACAGGGACACUCUUCCUCUCUGUGUUCAUGUUUGCUUUGGGUUGAAAUCAUUUCAUUACAAAAAUGAAAUGAAAAAAAAAAAA